rnacentral:rRNA from 2 species
GAUUAGAUCUCAAAUCAGGUAGGACUACCCGCUGAACUUA